GGUUGUAAACCGCUUUUGUCAGGGAAGAAACGGGCGUUUCUAAUAAAGAUGCCUAAUGACGGUACCUGAAGAAUAAGCACCGGCUAACUACGUGCCAGCAGCCGCGGUAAUACGUAGGGUGCAAGCGUUAAUCGGAAUUACUGGGCGUAAAGCGUGCGCAGGCGGUUAUGCAAGACAGAUGUGAAAUCCCCGGGCUCAACCUGGGAACUGCAUUUGUGACUGCAUGGCUAGAGUACGGUAGAGGGGGAUGGAAUUCCGCGUGUAGCAGUGAAAUGCGUAGAUAUGCGGAGGAACACCGAUGGCGAAGGCAAUCCCCUGGACCUGUACUGACGCUCAUGCACGAAAGCGUGGGGAGCAAACAGGAUUAGAUACCCUGGUAGUCC
rnacentral:rRNA from 1 species